UGGCGCACGGGUGAGUAACACGUGAGUAACCUGCCCCCGAGAGCGGGAUAGCCCUGGGAAACUGGGAUUAAUACCGCAUAGUAUCGAAAGAUUAAAGCAGCAAUGCGCUUGGGGAUGGGCUCGCGGCCUAUUAGUUAGUUGGUGAGGUAACGGCUCACCAAGGCGAUGACGGGUAGCCGGUCUGAGAGGAUGUCCGGCCACACUGGAACUGAGACACGGCCCAGACUCCUACGGAAGGCAGCAG
rnacentral:rRNA from 1 species